AGCUCCAAUAGCGUAUAUUAAAGUUGCUGCAGUUAAACAGCUCGUAGUUGCAUUUCCGAGGCAAGGGAUUAGUCCGACCUUUGGUGGGUAUUUAAUCCUCUUGCCUCGUCCUUGAGUGGUGCUUCUUGGUAUUAAGUUAUCGAGGAGAUAGCCGCUCAUCGUUUACUGUGAGAAAAUUAGAGUGUUCAAAGCAGGCUUAUGCCGUUGAAUAUAUUAGCAUGGAAUAAUAAGAUAGGACCUCGGUACUAUUUUGUUGGUUUGAGAACCAAGGUAAUGAUGAAUAGGGACAGUUGGGGGUAUUCGUAUUCAGUUGUCAGAGGUGAAAUUCUUAGAUUUACGGAAGACGAACUACUGCGAAAGCAUUUACCAAGGAUGUUUGCA
rnacentral:rRNA from 1 species